rnacentral:misc_RNA from 1 species
GUGAAUCAUCAAAUUUUUGAACGCAAAUUGCACUCUCCUCGGAGAGUAUGCCUGUUUGAGGGUCAGCCUAUAAAAAAUCGACAUCGUUGCUGUUUCCCGGUGGCGUUCGUCGGACAUUGGGUUAUCUUAAAUCUUUUGGCUUUAAGCGACUUAAAAUUUUCUUUUUGGUUCCAUGAACGUUUCUAAGAUUUAUUUCUGUACACGUUUAAGGUAGCGAUUUUUGUUAGACGUUACUAUC